rnacentral:sRNA from 1 species
CCCUGCACGUGGUGUGUCCUGAGCAGUACACUCAGCCGCCCCCAGCCCAGUCCCACAGGAUGGACCUCAUGAUCGACUGCCAGCCCCCCGCCAUGUCCUAUCGGCGGGCUGAGGUUCUCGCCCUGCCCUUCAAACGUCGGUACGAGAAGAUCGAGAUCAUGCCAGAGCUCGCAGAUUCACUGGUGCCCAUGGAGAUCAAGCCUGGCAUCUCCUUGGCAACUGUCUCGGCCGUGCUGCACACCAAAGAUAACAAGCACUUGCUUCAGCCCCCUCCUCGGCCCGCCCAGCCCACGAGCGGGAAGAAGAGAAAGCGGGUGAGCGAUGACGUACCAGACUGCAAAGUCCUGAAGCCUUUGUUGAGCGGUUCCAUCCCUGUGGAGCAGUUCGUGCAGACCCUGGAGAAGGUGAGCUGGUUUCGCUGGUGCCGUGGAAACUCCACACGUGGCAGCCUUUCCCUGGCUCACUAUGGCCCCCUGGCUGCAGGGAGUGGAUGUUGCUGCUUGUCACUUAGUCCCCACUGUCCUGUGGCAUCUGCUUGGUCUAAGGUCCUGCUGGGAGACCCAGGAGAAAGAAAGCAGAGUGAGGAGUGCCCCAUCCUUCCUCCCAGCACGAGGUCACCAGAAGGCCUCUCCAGACUGAAGAAAAAGCUGCUUCCACACACACAUGUGACGAGUGGGGCAGGGUAGUGAGGC